GUUGGAUUAGAUUGUGAUCCCUGUCCUGCAUGGGACUCACAAUCUAAAUCUAGGCCCUCUUUUCCUCCCCAACCACCAUUCUCUGCCCCACCCCCCAACACAGUGGUUCAGAUUUCAAAUGAAGAGGGGAGAGAGGGAGCGGUGCAACGGAGAAGAAGCAACAUAAGGGAAAUAAGGACCUGGCUGACUCCUACCCCCUUUUUAAAGGAACUCUGGACAAUUCAUCGAUGCCAGAAACACCAGCCCCCCUCCCAAAAGCAGACUUCGGUGAAAGUGGCCACAGCCUCUCCUGAGCAGUACUGCCAAGGAGGGACAGGCUUUACUGUCCUACAUUUCUUUCAUGAGUUAAGAUUACCCUGGUGAGUACUGAGAGAGAAAAAAAAAGAGAGAGAGAGAAACUGCCAGCCUUUUAGCACUCUUCCUCUUUUUUUCCCCAACAUACUCUGCUUCUCUUUUCCCUCCCUCUCCUCCCCACCACCCCCAACACCUAUGCCUUUUUCCCUUCUUCCCCCUCUCUAGCUCUGUCUCCUGUUCAUUCUUUUUUUAACCUCUCCAAAGUCUUGGACCACGAGCCCUGUUCCCUGCUCUACUUUGUGUUGUGGAAAAUUUAAUCCCAUUAUUUCAGGAGAGCUGUUUUAGCCGUCUGCCUCUGGCUUAGGGCUGUGGUCUGGUUUGGCUUGGUUUGCUGAGUUUUGUGAAGGAUACAGAAUUCCUGAGAACAAAUAUACAACUCUCUCUCUAUUGUAAUAAUCUUUGACCCUCUAAAUUUUCUUCACUUAGCCGCCAAGUAUAUAACUAUUCAUUUCUGGAUACUCUCCUCCUCCCAUCCAAGUGUUCCCCCCGUAUGUGGGGCCUUAGCUCAGAGUAAAACGCUGGCACCUAGGGGUUGAUAUUAGUCUUUCGUGGCUCCAAAAAACAUUAAUCUUGUCUGCAAGGGAUAAUAUUUGGUAAUUUUAACUUGGCCUCUGAAGUUGUUAGCUCCAGGGAGAUUUAAGUUAAAUUUUUCAUUUGAAAACUUGUGUAUUUAAUGUUUGACUCAUGCAGAAAUUGCCACAGGGUUUAUUUAUUCUCCCCUUAUAGCCACUGGUCAUGUGCAGAGGUAGCACUGCAACAUGAUUUAGUGGCACAGGGGUCUACACUGGGGGCCAAUAUGGGGCAGGAAUCAACCUUUUAAAGCCCCUGACCAGACAUUGCCUUGCUGGAAUGACUAAAACUACCAGGUUUAGACUCCAUUUACUCUAGAGAGCAGCCCCGGAAGUACAACACGAGUUAUUUCUGGGUCACUCUAGAAGGACGGAGUCCAAAUUCCAUGGUGAAAUUGUUCUGAAACCUGCAAUCAGGAGGCCAUAAGGGUGUCUCUGUCAGUAUUCCCACCCUGCCUCUUUCCUUCUCUUCAGUUGCUGUGGGAGGGGAGUGGGCGAAACUGUCAACCGAACACUGGGGUUCCCUGCUCUUAGUUGAGCUAGGGUGCAGAGAGGUAUAUGCUCAAGCCCUUAAUUGGGCCACGUAUUUUCAUGCCUAGUGUUACCAUAGAAAUUCGCCUGCACCUGAGCCAAAUUGCCACUGUUGCUAGGCACCAAACUCAGACCUACACCUGCUCAAAGGGUGCCCUGGCCCCUGAUCCAGUGUGAUUGCAGAGGUUUGAAUCGAGAAACUGCAAAGGCAGGAGCUUUACCCUCCUGCUCUGUGAGCCUCGUUAAAGUGCCAUCUAGUGUUCCUCUGAGUCUCAAAAACAUUUUUGGUUAAAAUGUAAAAUCCCAGGCAAAUUUAUCCAGAAAUAAGGGUGCAAGCAUAGCCUUCUCCCUUCCUUUCAUCCUCUUUCCCAAACAUGCAAUGAUUGUAGGAAAUGAAUAUUAAGGGAGAACAGCAGAGCAGGGGUUGAGAAGCUGUGGCUUGCAUAAUAUGGAUUGUGGAGGGAAGGGUCCCUGCCUCAAUAACAUUGGAAGUAUGUGAAGAAGCCCCCAGAUAGCUAUUGGCAACUGUUGCCAUGCCAAGUCAACUUGCCUGGAAUCCAGCCUCUAGCUAUGGAUCCUGAAUCCCCGUAUUGCUCCUCCGGCCCUGCCCAAUCCAGGACCCUCCCUCCAAGGAGCCUUUCCUGACUAAACCCUCCUUUCCUCUUCUCCUACUCCCUUCUGUGUUGCCCUGACUUGCUCCCUUUAUUCAUCCCCCCUUCUAGCCCCACAGCACUUAUGUACAUAUCUGUAAUUUUAUUUAUAUUUAUAUCUGUCUCCCCUUCUAGACCGUAAACUCAUUGUGGGCAGGGAAUGGGUAUGUUUAUUGUUAUAUUGUACUCUCCCAAAUGCUUAAUACAGUGCUCUACACACAGUAAGCACUCAAUAAAUAUGAUUGACUGACUGACCGACCCUCUCCCCACUUCCUUAUGAAGCAGGGGUACCAUGGAGGGCAGGCAGGGGUAAGAAGGCCACAUUUAGAGACAUGGCUGGAGCCCAGGUUUCCCUCCAGAUACACAUCUUCCUGUUCGCCUCAAAACCUCCCGGAAUUGUAGAGAGUCUGUGUAAAGGAAAACUAUGGUUGUAUUAACACCCAUCGCCUCCUAUUCAGAAAGUCUCUUCCUUCUUCCCUAAACAGAACAGCUGCGGCAUUUCUCAUGACAGCCUGAGUUGUAAAUGUUCACAACUUGCAGGGCAAAGGGGAAAGGAAAAAAAGGCCGAGGUGGAUUCCAGUUAAUUUGACAGUAAAGAACGCAGUUUGGAGUUAGGAUUUUUUUUCCCCAUCUCAGAACAGGGACCUUUUCACAUAAACAUGUGCUUGGCAGGGCACAGAAUGGAAACUUCUUUCUAGACUUUUGCCAAAGAUUUCUUCAUCGUGUCUGUUUUGUGUGUCCUGGGCCGGCGGGGAAGAUACGUGAGCAGGCUCUAUUCACUACUGAGAAAGGCAUCGAGGCUUGGAGUAUAGGGGUAGACUGGUAGAUCUCAGCAGUAGGACACAGGUAUUUAGGGCGGAGGAUUUGGGUAUAUGGGAGGUGCUUUUAACUCCUGCCAGUUCCCUCAGUUUGGGGGAGAUUCAUGUUAGUGCUGCUGCUGCUGCUGCUGGGGCCCUGAGGGGUUUAGAAAGAACAGCUGGGAGAGCCAGGGAUGCAACCUGGCACUGGACUAGGCAUCCCAGACAGCGGGAGAUGGCAUCUGCCUGGCCCCUCUAGACCCCACAUCUGUGCAGAGGCCUGGGGACAUUGCUGCCUUGAGAACUUGCCCAGGCUAGGAAGUUCACCAGAAUGAUAAUUGAGGGACCAUUUUUGCCUGCUGAUUUUAAAAUGGGGCAACACCUCGAACUAUCUGUAAAUGACAUUUGAGCCUAUCAUCUCGAUGUGCAGGCAAAUGUGGAGGAGAUUACCAGUUACCACUUUGACGUAACUAGCUGCAUUCACACACUGAUAAAAUCUCACUAUCAUCAGUAGUGUGACUUGAGCAUAUGUGCUGUCUAUCUGUGUGU
rnacentral:lncRNA from 1 species